GACGAACGCUGGCGGCGUGCCUAAUACAUGCAAGUAGAACGCUGAAGCUUGGUGCUUGCACCGAGCGGAUGAGUUGCGAACGGGUGAGUAACGCGUAGGUAACCUGCCUGGUAGCGGGGGAUAACUAUUGGAAACGAUAGCUAAUACCGCAUAAGAGUAGAUGUUGCAUGACAUUUGCUUAAAAGGUGCAAUUGCAUCACUACCAGAUGGACCUGCGUUGUAUUAGCUAGUUGGUGAGGUAACGGCUCACCAAGGCAACGAUACAUAGCCGACCUGAGAGGGUGAUCGGCCACACUGGGACUGAGACACGGCCCAGACUCCUACGGGAGGCAGCAGUAGGGAAUCUUCGGCAAUGGACGGAAGUCUGACCGAGCAACGCCGCGUGAGUGAAGAAGGUUGUCGGAUCGUAAAGCUCGGUUGUAAGAGAAGAACGAGUGUGAGAGUGGAAAGUUCACACUGUGACGGUAUCUUACCAGAAAGGGACGGCUAACUACGUG
rnacentral:rRNA from 1 species